GGCCCUACGGGCCGCAAUAGAGGCUGCAAAUCACGUCUUUUGGUCAAAUUUUGGUCAUUAGCGACCCGCAGCCUAACGGGGCCUUAAGCCGAAUUUCGGCUGCGGGUACUGUGGUACGGACCCACCCGAUUUGCCGACCUCUGGUGGAAACACCGUCACACUAGCACUACACUAAGUCCACAUUAGCCCAUAAUGUCCACACUAGCCCAUAAAUACACUGUGGGCUAGUGUGGACUUAGUGUAGCGCUAGUGUGACGGCGUUUCCACUAGCUGCACAAAGGAGCGCCGAAACCAAAAUGGUUUUCGUAUUUUGAAUGUUUUUGCGCCAGGUAUUAAUUGCUGCUAAUUGCCAAGGUCUGUAAGGAUAAUAUGGAUUGUAGGCUUCUCCUGGCAGCCUUCACGGGUUAUACCGGUGCAUUGAUGGCUCUCCCGCUGCUUAUCAGCCCCAGCAGGCUAGACGACGGCAGAAUAUCCAGUAAAAAUAUAGCUGCUCAGGUCAAAGGUCUGUGAUCAGAAGGCACAAACCGGCCCCUAAAAGUUGCCCGCCAAAUAGUAAAUGCUAGGUUUGGAAGUUAUGGGCAGGUCUGAGGUCCCAUUAACUUUGUGACGCGCUAGUGUGGCUAGUGUACCGGGUGUUUCCACUAGGCCUUACGGUUAUCCGCCAGGAGUGCCCCAACCUCCAAUUUGUUUGAUGAAUAUUUGUUUCUGUAAUUAGUUAUAACAAUAUGCGCAUUAUGAACGGUGAGAGACAAGUCCAGGACGAAGAAUAUUCGAACAUGGUGUUAGU
rnacentral:lncRNA from 1 species